CUUAAGUGCCUCCAUCAUGGUAUUUUAACUAGAUUCCUUAUCCUAAUGUCUUAUCGCUCACUUUUCUCCAAAGUGUACAUGUUGCAAAAGCCAAAGUGGUAACUCAGUAGAAUAGGCUCAGGAUGUCUGGUUUGCUGAUGUAUUUCCAGGGAAAUUCAUCAGAGUGUUUUGAAAUACACCUCUUACUUUAACAAAAGCCGUUAAGUUCUGAAAUUCACAGUAAAGGCAAGGAAACCAUUUACCAGGUUGGAAGCCUAUUUCUGGUUGAUUCAAGGGGUUUGGAGAUUCAAAUUAGAUUCCAUAGUGAACUCAACUGCAAGAAAUUAAGGAAUUUUUAAACAAUGGAAAUAUUGCUCAACACAUGUUUUUAGUUUGUUUUUAAAUGCUUCAUUCUUUAACAUUGUAAGAUUUCCAAUAAAGGAAAAAAGAACCAAGUGACCAAAACAGUUAAAGUUAGUAUUAACUAUUGAGAAUUAAGAAUGUUUCUUUAAAUUUAAGUCAUUAUAUCCUGCAAUUUUGUUUAUUUUUGUAAAG
rnacentral:lncRNA from 1 species